rnacentral:rRNA from 1 species
CCUGGCGACCAUAGCGCUGUGGACCCACCUGAUCCCAUGCCGAACUCAGACGUGAAACGCAGCAGCGCCGAUGGUAGUGUGGGG